UGUAAAAUAAUUUAUUAUAUAAUUAAUUAAGAAUGUAUAUAUAAUUUUAUUCAUAUUAUUAAUAAUUGCAUAUACAACCAAAAGUAAAGUGUGAUAUGUGAUAACUAGGAUAUUCUUGCACAAACUAAGCAAUCUCGACAGUCUAAUCUGAAAUAUGCAAGCCUAUGGCACACAUUUUACCACCAGUAACUUUUCUUUUGAUUACUAUCUUAAAUAAUGAAUAUAAAAUAAUUUUUGCAGCAAAUAUGCAGAAUAAGCAACUGGGCCCUAAUAAAUCUCUUUAAUUUCAGCAAAUCUCUGUGAAUUCAGUCUUUGCCUCGGUACAUGUUUAACGAACGGAUUAAUAACUCAAUGCGUGUAAUCACCCCACAAUGAGGAGCUUUCCAUCAUAAACAGCGAUACACUUCAUCAUUGGAAGUGCAUGUCAUCAGUGCUAUGAGAAGCCUUUCAUUAAGGUCAACGAUAAAACACACAAUUCCCUGGGAACAUUCAACAUUUUGUUUAAAACGUGGGAACUAAUUAGCAAAAUAUAAAAGAAAAUGAUUUACAACUUGAAGAAAGGGUGAAGAAGAUAUUCCACCCUAUAUUUAGUAAAUAUAGGGUGGAAUAUCAUCCUCUUUAGUAAAUGUAGCGUGGAAUAUCAGCCCAUUAAUAAAUAAACCUUUCAUAUUCCUAGACUUGGCUAAGAACUUUUUGAUGUUUUCUAAUACGUAAAAAUUCCCUUAGGCAGCAAAAUAUUUAGUUUUGGGGAAUUCAGACACUUUCCAACAAGUACAUCACACAAGUUUUGUUUAUUUAUUUACAUAUUAUGAAUGCCUUGGAUCUUUUUAUUUGGCUGUUGCAGGCAAAAAGAGUAAAAUUUAAGUUAGUAUUAUGUAUAGCGUUAUGUAAACUGUGCUUAGAUUUAUUGAUAUUCUUUCUGACAAUCUAAAACUUCAAGGCUAGUAACAACAAUCGCACAGCUUUUAACAUUGAAUUUAUUAAGAUAUAUAUCCAGUAUCCAUAAACAGUUCCAUAACAUUUAGAAAGUAAUGAGUGCCAAUGAUAUUUGGAAUUAAGUUUCAUUUAUUUAACAAUAUUAUGUAAUUGAAAAGCCUUUUACGUUUCAAAGCAAUCAAUAGCAUAUAUAAAAUUUUUUACUAAUAUCAAAAUGCAAACAAUUGUCUUUGAGUGUGCCGCCUGCUUUUAAAUAAGUGUGUUCAAUGCACAUUUCGCUAGC